rnacentral:rRNA from 1 species
GGCGCAGCCUGAUGCAGCGACGCCGCGUGAGGGAUGACGGCCUUCGGGUUGUAAACCUCUUUCAGUAGGGAAGAAGCGAAAGUGACGGUACCUGCAGAAGAAGCGCCGGCUAACUACGUGCCAGCAGCCGCGGUAAUACGUAGGGCGCAAGCGUUAUCCGGAAUUAUUGGGCGUAAAGAGCUCGUAGGCGGUUUGUCGCGUCUGCCGUGAAAGUCCGGGGCUCAACUCCGGAUCUGCGGUGGGUACGGGCAGACUAGAGUGAUGUAGGGGAGACUGGAAUUCCUGGUGUAGCGGUGAAAUGCGCAGAUAUCAGGAGGAACACCGAUGGCGAAGGCAGGUCUCUGGGCAUUAACUGACGCUGAGGAGCGAAAGCAUGGGGAGCGAACAGGAUUAGAUACCCUGGUAGA